rnacentral:rRNA from 1 species
UACGUAGGGGGCAAGCGUUGUCCGGAUUUAUUGGGCGUAAAGCGCGUGUAGGCGGCCACGCAGGUCCGCUGUGAAAACUCGAGGCUCAACCUCGAGCUGUCGGUGGAAACCGCGUGGCUAGAGUCCGGAAGAGGGGACUGGAAUUCCCGGUGUAGCGGUGGAAUGCGCAGAUAUUCGGAAGAACACCAGUGGCGAAGGCGGCUCACUGGACCGGCAUUGACGCUGAGGUGCGAAAGCGUGGGGAGCAAACAGG